rnacentral:lncRNA from 1 species
CGGCCGCACCUCCGGGGGCACGGCGCGUAACAGGAGGCUUCCGGGGCUGAGAGCGUUACAGGCUGCGCUCCGGGGCCAGAUAGGCCGGGCGCUCAGAAGGGGAGUAUGAGCCUGAUGUGGGCAGAAUCCAGAUGAGCUGGCCAGUGCUGUGAAGGAGCUGAGAGCACCCCCGAGAGCCGUGAGAUGGUAGGCAGAGUUCAGAGUAAGAUGCAUGGAAAGCGAACAUGCCUCCCAUCCUGCAUCCCCAAAGAUCUUGACUGCAUGCAACACUCUGGGGGCUGGGCGGCAAGGACCAGGAUGGAGACCCUGGAGAAGAGUGACAGGAGGUGGCAUUGAUACCAAACUUUCGACGACCAAGGUUUCUUCUGAGACUCUGAGUGUCCAGCUGGAAGCGUUUUUAAGUGUCUGUCACUGGUAUUGAGGAGUCAGGGGCAC